GGUGAACGCUGGCGGCGUGCCUAAUACAUGCAAGUCGAGCGAACGGACGAGAAGCUUGCUUCUCUGAUGUUAGCGGCGGACGGGUGAGUAACACGUGGAUAACCUACCUAUAAGACUGGGAUAACUUCGGGAAACCGGAGCUAAAACCGGAUAAUAUUUUGAACCGCAUGGUUCAAAAGUGAAAGACGGUCUUGCUGUCACUUAUAGAUGGAUCCGCGCUGCAUUAGCUAGUUGGUAAGGUAACGGCUUACCAAGGCAACGAUGCAUAGCCGACCUGAGAGGGUGAUCGGCCACACUGGAACUGAGACACGGUCCAGACUCCUACGGGAGGCAGCAGUAGGGAAUCUUCCGCAAUGGGCGAAAGCCUGACGGAGCAACGCCGCGUGAGUGAUGAAGGUCUUCGGAUCGUAAAACUCUGUUAUUAGGGAAGAACAUAUGUGUAAGUAACUGUGCACAUCUUGACGGUACCUAAUCAGAAAGCCACGGCUAACUACGUG
rnacentral:rRNA from 1 species